rnacentral:rRNA from 1 species
UGGGCGCAAGCCUGAUCCAGCCAUGCCGCGUGUGUGAAGAAGGUCUUCGGAUUGUAAAGCACUUUAAGUUGGGAGGAAGGUUAGUAACCGAAUUCGUGGCUGAGGUGGAGUACCGACAGAAUAAGCACCGUAACUUCGG